GUGUGACUGCGUACCUUUUGUAUAAUGGGUCAGCGACUUAUAUUCUGUAGCAAGGUUAACCGAAUAGGGGAGCCGAAGGGAAACCGAGUCUUAACUGGGCGUUAAGUUGCAGGGUAUAGACCCGAAACCCGGUGAUCUAGCCAUGGGCAGGUUGAAGGUUGGGUAACACUAACUGGAGGACCGAACCGACUAAUGUUGAAAAAUUAGCGGAUGACUUGUGGCUGGGGGUGAAAGGCCAAUCAAACCGGGAGAUAGCUGGUUCUCCCCGAAAGCUAUUUAGGUAGCGCCUCGUGAAUUCAUCUCCGGGGGUAGAGCACUGUUUCGGCAAGGGGGUCAUCCCGACUUACCAACCCGAUGCAAACUGCGAAUACCGGAGAAUGUUAUCACGGGAGACACACGGCGGGUGCUAACGUCCGUCGUGAAGAGGGAAACAACCCAGACCGCCAGCUAAGGUCCCAAAGUCAUGGUUAAGUGGGAAACGAUGUGGGAAGGCCCAGACAGCCAGGAUGUUGGCUUAGAAGCAGCCAUCAUUUAAAGAAAGCGUAAUAGCUCACUGGUCGAGUCGGCCUGCGCGGAAGAUGUAACGGGGCUAAACCAUGCACCGAAGCUGCGGCAGCGACGCUUAUGCGUUGUUGGGUAGGGGAGCGUUCUGUAAGCCUGCGAAGGUGUGCUGUGAGGCAUGCUGGAGGUAUCAGAAGUGCGAAUGCUGACAUAAGUAACGAUAAAGCGGGUGAAAAGCCCGCUCGCCGGAAGACCAAGGGUUCCUGUCCAACGUUAAUCGGGGCAGGGUGAGUCGACCCCUAAGGCGAGGCCGAAAGGCGUAGUCGAUGGGAAACAGGUUAAUAUUCCUGUACUUGGUGUUACUGCGAAGGGGGGACGGAGAAGGCUAUGUUGGCCGGGCGACGGUUGUCCCGGUUUAAGCGUGUAGGCUGGUUUUCCAGGCAAAUCCGGAAAAUCAAGGCUGAGGCGUGAUGACGAGGCACUACGGUGCUGAAGCAACAAAUGCCCUGCUUCCAGGAAAAGCCUCUAAGCAUCAGGUAACAUCAAAUCGUACCCCAAACCGACACAGGUGGUCAGGUAGAGAAUACCAAGGCGCUUGAGAGAACUCGGGUGAAGGAACUAGGCAAAAUGGUGCCGUAACUUCGGGAGAAGGCACGCUGAUAUGUAGGUGAAGCGACUUGCUCGUGGAGCUGAAAUCAGUCGAAGAUACCAGCUGGCUGCAACUGUUUAUUAAAAACACAGCACUGUGCAAACACGAAAGUGGACGUAUACGGUGUGACGCCUGCCCGGUGCCGGAAGGUUAAUUGAUGGGGUCAGCGCAAGCGAAGCUCUUGAUCGAAGCCCCGGUAAACGGCGGCCGUAACUAUAACGGUCCUAAGGUAGCGAAAUUCCUUGUCGGGUAAGUUCCGACCUGCACGAAUGGCGUAAUGAUGGCCAGGCUGUCUCCACCCGAGACUCAGUGAAAUUGAACUCGCUGUGAAGAUGCAGUGUACCCGCGGCAAGACGGAAAGACCCCGUGAACCUUUACUAUAGCUUGACACUGAACAUUGAGCCUUGAUGUGUAGGAUAGGUGGGAGGCUUUGAAGUGUGGACGCCAGUCUGCAUGGAGCCGACCUUGAAAUACCACCCUUUAAUGUUUGAUGUUCUAACGUUGACCCGUAAUCCGGGUUGCGGACAGUGUCUGGUGGGUAGUUUGACUGGGGCGGUCUCCUCCUAAAGAGUAACGGAGGAGCACGAAGGUUGGCUAAUCCUGGUCGGACAUCAGGAGGUUAGUGCAAUGGCAUAAGCCAGCUUGACUGCGAGCGUGACGGCGCGAGCAGGUGCGAAAGCAGGUCAUAGUGAUCCGGUGGUUCUGAAUGGAAGGGCCAUCGCUCAACGGAUAAAAGGUACUCCGGGGAUAACAGGCUGAUACCGCCCAAGAGUUCAUAUCGACGGCGGUGUUUGGCACCUCGAUGUCGGCUCAUCACAUCCUGGGGCUGAAGUAGGUCCCAAGGGUAUGGCUGUUCGCCAUUUAAAGUGGUACGCGAGCUGGGUUUAGAACGUCGUGAGACAGUUCGGUCCCUAUCUGCCGUGGGCGCUGGAGAACUGAGGGGGGCUGCUCCUAGUACGAGAGGACCGGAGUGGACGCAUCACUGGUGUUCGGGUUGUCAUGCCAAUGGCACUGCCCGGUAGCUAAAUGCGGAAGAGAUAAGUGCUGAAAGCAUCUAAGCACGAAACUUGCCCCGAGAUGAGUUCUCCCUGACUCCUUGAGAGUCCUGAAGGAACGUUGAAGACGACGACGUUGAUAGGCCGGGUGUGUAAGCGCAGCGAUGCGUUGAGCUAACCGGUACUAAUGAACCGUGAGGCUUAACCUU
rnacentral:rRNA from 1 species